UAUCAUGCUAAUAAUAGGACUGUAGAUGAUGCAGAUAUGCAAAAGUAACUAUCAAUACCAAUGUCUAUUAUAAUGUCCGUGCCAAACAUGACGCGCUACUUCGGAAUGAAGCGGCGUUCAAACCUAAUUCUUGUGGACUUGGAUCGUUUCUCGGUACACCGAAGAGAA